GAGGGCAUAGUUCAAUGGUAAAGUGCAUGUUUAGCAUGCAUGAGGUUCUAGGUUCAAUCCCCAGUACCUCCU
rnacentral:tRNA from 1 species